CGUCCCACUUAGAUUUUUAUUUGAAAUCAGGAUAGACUCAGAAAAAAAUAUGUAAUUCGAUUUGAGCCAUUCCUAUAUAUUCUACAUGUACAUAGACGCCCACAUCUGUGCAUAUAUUGAUAUUAUGUAUAUGUACGUAUGGACAUACAUACACACACACGAGAAACAGUAAAAGCAUCCAAUAGUAUAGAAUAUGUAACACACACGCACAGAAGGCACCUGGAACACAAGCAGAAUUGACUGUGUUGGUGAUACGGCCACUCAGUGAAAUGUAUCUUGUGGUCUGUCAUCCUUCCUUUCAGUCAUUUCAAGUACGAGGCUGAGAAAAACACGGUCUCCGAUCCAACUUGGACCUGGCGCGCCUCCUGAGGAACCGGAAGGAUGAGAGGAACCGAUUGCAGCGGCGGUUUAUUUACACGGAUGCACACACCCCUUUCACGUCGGCGGGAGGCCACGUAGGCCUGGGGAAGGAUUUUGCCGGCGUACCCGGAAUGGUUUCCUCAGCUUUGGUUGGGCGGGGGAGGGUAGCGCAGCGGCGCGUUCUGGGAGCCGAAGAGACCGAGAUCUUCCCGGGCUCUUGAGAGUGUUACCUCUUUCGCGGCAACAAUGGCUCGGGUGUCUCGCUCGCGCGGCCCGGAGUGGGAAGCGUCGCAGUUCGUCGAAGAGCCCCGAGCCCGCGGGGCGGCCGCUCUCGUUCGCACUCUUGCUCUCGGCCCGGGGACCGGAAUGGCCUCGGCCAUCAGCUGGGUGGCCUCAGCCGAGGCUCCCGAAACCAGCUCUGCGGCCCUGGCUUGCGGUGUCGUUCGCGAGAGCUGCCCUCGGCACCUCGGUGCUCCCCUUCCGCUUCUGCGUCCUCGUCCGCUGAGCGCUGCCGCCACUCGCGCCGCUGCGGGAGCGACGAGCCGGGACCCAGCCUCCUGGACCGGGAGGAGUUUUCUUUAAAUUCAGCUCUGAUGAACAUACACCAGUAGAGGACAAAGAGCCAAAGAAAAGCACCACUUUAGCUUCUACUUCAGAAGGUAUUUUUUAAAUAUAGGACUUUUUUAUUGAGAAGUUUAAAAAAUACGUUUAUAAAUAGUUGAAUAUUAGACUUUACUCAAAUCGCCUGUCAUCAAUUCCUUUUCAGUAUAUAUAUAUAUUUUUUUCGGUACACAGGCCUCUCACUGUUGUGGCCUCUCCCGUUGCGGAGCACAGGCUCCAGACGCUCAGGCUCAGCGGUCAUGGCUCACGAGCCCAGCUGCUUCCCGGACCGGGACCCGAACCCGUGUCCCCUGCAUCGGCAGGCGGACUCUCAACCACUGCGCCACCAGGGAAGCCCAUCUUUUCAGUAUUUUUAAUACAAUAAAAUUGAUGCUCAGAAAUACUUCUUUAGAAGUUAGUUUUUUAUUUGUAUUUUAUGUAGAAGAAAAGAAGAAGAAGAAGUCUAGUCAUUCAAAAGAAAGGUCCAAGAAAAAGAGGAAGAAAAAAUCAUCUAAAAGAAAACACAAGAAGUAUUCUGAUGAUAGUGACAGUGACUCUGAUUCUGAAACAGACUCCAGUGGUAAGAAAGCCAACAUCCUUCUGUGAGCCUUGCUUCAAAACUAGUUGUACUUCUUGAAAGCUUAUUUUAGAAGAAGGUUCUUAAAAACAAUAAUAGCCAAGAGUUUUGAACACUCACUGACUUGGUGUUGGGCACCCUGCUAAGUGCUUGAUACGCAUUAUUGCUAUUUAAUCCACACAGUCACUGUAGGACACAUCUUAGAGAUGGAGACAUGGAGGCCCAGAGCAGGUUAUAAGUACCGCCCCAAGGCCACACAGUUGGGAUUCAAACCUAAGCCGUGUGACUCCAGAUUGGUUGUGUGUAGCUGUACGAGGCAUGUGGCACCGAACCAUGUUGGGGUUAGUCUGUGAGACGUGUGGUGCUAAGCCAAGCCACAGGGGGCUGCCUCAGCCCAGUGGAGCAGCUCUUUUGUGAGAUUCUCACACUAAGUGGGCACCUUUGUGCAAUUUUCAAAAAGGUACACCAUAGGGGACUCCCUCUGGCCAGCAGCUGAUUUAUGUAUCACACUUCCUGUGGGGCGGCACAUCACAAAAAAGUCACCUUUUUGUGCCCUCUCCUGGCUGAUGACUGACAGAGGGUGCCUCCUCUGGGGACACGUUACACUAAGGCACCCCUUCCUCUGGUGUCACCUGGGUUUCCUGGCCCUCACUGUCACCUUUCUUCCUCACUGCUGGAAGGCUGAGCUUUCUUGAAGCGCAGAUCUGAGCAUGGCGGUCCCUACUUAAAAUCCUUCCACAGUUCUCCAUGGCCUUCAGGGUAAAGUCAGAUCCCAAUUGUAGAGGAAUAACUGAGGACAUGGAAAGGAGACGUGACCCAUGAACCCCUCGGCAGACCGAGGGUUAGCGAGUAAGCCAGAACUGCAGGCAGUCCUGGAUACUUUGGGCGCUGAUCCAUGAAAUGACCUCAGUAUAAUCAGAAUGAUGGGAACACAAGGAGAUGUCCUUGUGCUGCUUGUGAGCUCAAGGAUGAAGCACGGCAUGUCUUCAAGAAGGCCCACUGUUGCUUGUCUAAUCAAUAAAAGCAUAUAUUGCUGCUUUGGCUUUUCUGGAAUGUUAAAAUUUUAAGUCUUAAGAUGUAAACAUAGAUAAUGCUUAAAUAAAAGUCACCACAGCAGGAUGAGACGGCACUGUAUUGCCUGAGCGAGCAGCAGCCCUCUACUGCUGUGCUUCUGCACAAUUCAUCUCGUGUGAUGAGCUUACUUUCAGC
ensembl:lncRNA